rnacentral:lncRNA from 1 species
AUGCCUGCUCCCUGCAGGUCCUUUUGGUCAACAGGAAAACAUCAUGUGUCUUUUUCCUGCCAAAUGCCUUCCCGUCCAGUCGGCCCUCCCUCUCCACCCUGUAACCGCACUGCUCCAGCCAGUCUUCUGCGUUUGGAAUUCUCCAGAUGGGCGCAAGAGCCCAGGUGCAGAUGCCGACAAAUGCUUGCAGAUGCUGGUUGGCUUUCCUUAGAACUCUCUCUGCUUUCCUCUUUGGUCUCCAAGCAGCACCAGCACCUGCGAUGUGAGGGCUCUGUAAACAUCCAGCCAGAAGCAUGUGUUAUCGGUGAUACUACACUCUUUCCAGUGGGGGCAGACCAUCUUUUCCCCCACCCGCCUCCCCAUCACUGCAGUGAAGGAAGCCUGCCGCAAAAGAGAGUAUCCUGUGUGAUUCCAUGUGAAGACAGUCUGGACGAUAACCGCCACCCAGGAGCGUGUCCGCUGGAAAUGCAACCUGGUAGGGGAUGCCCCGAAACCACUGGCACGUAGAGGGUGUGGCUGUUAGGAACAUGGGCUUUGGCGUCAGCUGCUCUACCACUUACUAAUAACCUUGGCCUGUUAUUCAUUUAGAAGUAGAGAUGAUAAUACCUACCACAGAGGAUUGUUGGCCAGAUUAAGAUAAUGUGCGUAAAGCACAUGGUAAUAUUGAAAUACCAGAGUCAGGGGUCAGCAACAUAGGAGAUAUUCCUGGCAAUGUGACCCCAUUUGAAUCCAUCACACGUGGUCUGGCAUUCAGACACACGAGUCACAUAUGCUUCCAUGUGCCUUGGGUGGCCAGAGAUUAAGUAAAUUUUUUUCCUCUUUCAAAAAACCACAUCCUUUUAGUAGAAAACUACAGCAAACACCGC